rnacentral:rRNA from 1 species
UACGGGGGGGGGCAAGCGUUGUUCGGAAUUACUGGGCGUAAAGGGCUCGUAGGCGGCCAACUAAGUCGGACGUGAAAUCCCUCGGCUUAACCGGGGAACUGCAUCCGAUACUGGAGGGCUUGAGUUUGGGAGAGGGAUGCGGAAUUCCAGGUGUAGCGGUGAAAUGCGUAGAUAUCUGGAGGAACACCGGUGGCGAAGGCGGCAUCCUGGACCAAUAUUGACGCUGAGGAGCGAAAGCCAGGGGAGCAAACGGG